UACGUAGGUGACCAGCGUUGUCCGGAUUUACUGGGCAUAAAGCGCACGUAGGUGGUCCGCUAAGUCGCGUGUGAAAUCCCCCCGGCUCAACCGGGGAAAUGCGCGUGAUACUGGCGGGCUUGAGAUCGGGAGGGGUGAAUGGAACUCCAGGUGGAGCGGUGAAAUGCGUAGAUAUCUGGAGGAACACCAAUAGCGAAGGCAGCUCGCUGGGACGUUACUGACACUGAGGCGCGAAAGCGUGGGGAGCGAACAGG
rnacentral:rRNA from 1 species